rnacentral:rRNA from 1 species
UGUGACUGCGUACCUUUUGUAUAAUGGGUCAGCGACUUAUAUUCUGUAGCAAGGUUAACCGAAUAGGGGAGCCGGAGGGAAACCGAGUCUUAAUUGGGCGUUAAGUUGCAGGGUAUAGACCCGAAACCCGGUGAUCUAGCCAUGGGCAGGUUGAAGGUUGGGUAACACUAACUGGAGGACCGAACCGACUAAUGUUGAAAAAUUAGCGGAUGACCUGUGGCUGGGGGUGAAAGGCCAAUCAAACCGGGAGAUAGCUGGUUCUCCCCGAAAGCUAUUUAGGUAGCGCCUCGUGAAUUCAUCUCCGGGGGUAGAGCACUGUUUCGGCUAGGGGGCCAUCCCGGCUUACCAACCCGAUGCAAACUGCGAAUACCGGAGAAUGUUAUCACGGGAGACACACGGCGGGUGCUAACGUCCGUCGUGAAGAGGGAAACAACCCAGACCGCCAGCUAAGGUCCCAAAGUCAUGGUUAAGUGGGAAACGAUGUGGGAAGGCCCAGACAGCCAGGAUGUUGGCUUAGAAGCAGCCAUCAUUUAAAGAAAGCGUAAUAGCUCACUGGUCGAGUCGGCCUGCGCGGAAGAUGUAACGGGGCUAAACCAUGCACCGAAGCUGCGGCAGCGAACGUAUCACCCAAGACAACUUUACGGAGUUGACGAUUGACGGAGCGAAGCGACGUCAAAGCGUUCAUUAAAGUCGAGUUGGCUUAGGGAUACGUUCGUUGGGUAGGGGAGCGUUCUGUAAGCCUGUGAAGGUGUGUCGUGAGGC